rnacentral:rRNA from 1 species
GAUGAACGCUGGCGGCGUGCCUAAUACAUGCAAGUCGAGCGAACGGACGAGAAGCUUGCUUCUCUGAUGUUAGCGGCGGACGGGUGAGUAACACGUGGAUAACCUACCUAUAAGACUGGGAUAACUUCGGGAAACCGGAGCUAAUACCGGAUAAUGUUUUGAACCGCAUGGUUCAAAAGUGAAAGACGGUCUUGCUGUCACUUAUAGAUGGAUCCGCGCUGCAUUAGCUAGUUGGUAAGGUAACGGCUUACCAAGGCAACGAUGCAUAGCCGACCUGAGAGGGUGAUCGGCCACACUGGAACUGAGACACGGUCCAGACUCCUACGGGAGGCAGCAGUAGGGAAUCUUCCGCAAUGGGCGAAAGCCUGACGGAGCAACGCCGCGUGAGUGAUGAAGGUCUUCGGAUCGCAAAACUCUGUUAUUAGGGAAGAACAUAUGUGUAAGUAACUGUGCACAUCUUGACGGUACCUAAUCAGAAAGCCACGGCUAACUACGUG